AGGCACAGAAGCUGCAGAGCAACACAAAGGAUCCUGCGGGCUUGAACAAGGGGCUCGAACAAAAAGCAGUUACUCCACAGAAGACCAGAGGGGUCCUCCCAGCAUUGUGGCUCUAUGAGGAAACUGAGACCCAGAGAUGGAACUGGGAUUCAAAACAAUGUCUAGUGUGACUCCAGAGCCUUUCCUAACUCCUACUUAAAGCCUCUGAGGAAUGCUGAAAAGAGCACAGGACAUAGAAUCCAGAUUAAAAUGAUGAAAGUCAUCAACCUUAAAAGAAGCAAAAAAGAAGAGAAUUAGCUCCUCUGUGUAAUUUUUUUAAAUAUAGCAUCAAACCAUCUUCCCGUCAGCAACAGGCACUGCAGUAUUGAAGAUCAUCACAUGAGGGCAGAGGGCGUAAAAAAGGAUGGUGUGUUGAGACCAGAAGCAGCAGCAGUCCUCGACAUCAACUACAACUUUCCUUCGCACAGUGCAUACCCUCUGAUAUACUGAACCCAACGCCUAUCCUCCAGCCCCCUAAGAACUAGAGAGGGAGCCUCACAACAUUCCAAUUUAAUCCUUCAGAAAAUUCAUUACUCUUCAAAGUUGUCUGUGGUUUUGUGACAACGAUAUGACUAGGUGCAAAAUGGCUUGCAACUAAUUAACAAACAUAGAAGCAUCCAACAAACAUAUACGUGCACAAUCUGAGGAUUUAGGGAUGAAAUCAGUUAUCCAGGUUAGAUAUCAACAAAAGAGCAGUAAUUAUAAAGUUUCAUGAAGAAAGUGGCUGUUGAGGUGUGGAUUAUGUAAGUAAGACUGACAACAAGAAAUGAUUUUGUUAUAAUCCAGAAGUAAAACUAAAUAAAUGUUCUUUAAAUUGAUGGAUAAAUAAGAAAGAAUUUAUUUACAACAGUAAAUAAAUCCAAUACUUGUUAUAAAUAAGAUAAAGCUGGCUAUAAAUUCACAUUUUCAUGUGAGCGUUUUGAAGUAUGUGGACAUAAAAAACACACACCUCAAGCAUACUUCUCAAUGAUUUCUGAUAAAGAACACACCUUUGUAACCAGCACAUGGUGUAAAACCAGAAACAGAACAUUACCAGAUUCCUAAACAAGCCUUCUUUGUGCCCCUUUUUAGUCACUACCCUCCCCCAUUCAAGGUAACUUCUAUCUUGACUUCUAACACCACACUUUUAGUUUUGCCUAUUGUUAACUUGAUAUAAAUAGAAUGAUACUGUAUAUUUUGUGUGUGUUUGGCUUCUUCUGCUCCAACUUUUGUUGGUAAGGUUUAUACAGAUUAUUAAAUAUAGCUAUAGUUCAUUUAUUUCUAUUACUAUGCAGUAUACUUGGAUUCAGGAAUACACCAUAACUUAAUCAUCCAUUCUAUUGUUGACUGGUUUGGCAAUUUUCUAAACAUACGCAAAUUCUAUGAACCAGCAAUUCUAUCCCGUGUAUGUGUAUAUAUACACACAUGUUAAAUAUAUACACAGAAACAUGCUGUGAAAGUGCUUUGCAAAUGGCAAAAUGUAAAAUGUAAGGAAUGUUACCAAAGAGCUGAAACGCACUGUGUCUUUCUUGCAACACAGAUUCUUGGACAUAUCAGAUAAUAAAUGUAUUUUGUAUUGAAAAUAA
ensembl:lncRNA IGSF11-AS1 IGSF11 antisense RNA 1